CCGACGUAACAGAGCUCUGUCCCAGGAGUGGCAAGGAAGAAAAAAAAAAGCCUCCAGAUCCAAUGAUCACCACAAGAGUUUCAUCCACUCCAUACAAGCUCAGCGUCUCGCCAGCCAUUUCUACAGAUCUACAACUUCCUCAAGGGCAGGACACAGCAGGCUGGCAACCAGUUCAGGGUGUACCCCGCCUCCUGCCCGUUGACAGCUGGGAUCGGCACCACCCCUCCCGCGACCCUCGUGAGGAGAAGCGGUUGAGGAAAUGGAUGGAUGGAUGUUGUUUUCAGGGAAACAAGGGAACCAGCUGAAGAGGAAGAGCCCUCGCUUAGCAGGGAAAUUUGCUUGCUGAGCACAUGAGAUGGAGUGGGAUUUGUUCCUGCAAUCUCCUUUUGACUUUCAACUGUCUGUUGAAGUUUCUUCCACUUUUUGAAGAAGACCUCUCCCAGUUUCAAAAUAAAUAUUCCACU